CUUGCACGGAACAAUAAUUUCACGGGGGAAAAAACGCCAUUAGCACAUUGCAGCUGGCGCAUACAGUGAUCUUGAAAAAGACAAAUUAUGGAUAGUGAGCAGCACUUAAUGAAUUUAUUAACUUCCACUAAAACACUGAAAUGCAUCGCGACAAAAACGAUUUUUUUUUUUUUACAAGAACAAUUCUUCAUAUGAGGCAAAAAAAAGAAAAGAAAAAACACUCUAAAUGACGUACAAAAUCAAUCUUUUCUGCUCUCGUUUUUAACUGAGUAUAAAAUACACCUUUAACAAUAAAACAUUGAAAUUCUAGUCUAUCACAGAUCAGAACUAACAACAUGUUUGUGUACAGGCUAAGUGUUAAAUGAAGUCUAUGGCAGGAAGAUUAUUUCACUAUCAUCAGGCAAAAAACAAACAAAAGAAAACAAGAAGAACAAAGUGAACGCUUAUAGUCUAAUGAAUAUUCAUGAAACACCCAGUACAGGCUAAGCCGUUAGAGAGCUAAUGGGUGUACACUGCACUGUAAAUCAGUUGUGUAUAGGCUCUGUAACACACACAUCUAGUGGAAGUUAUCGUUUCAUUUUGAUGCAUCUGAUAAAACUUGUGAAUUUAAUUUCUGAUAAUGACAAUCUAUAUGAUGUGCAGCGAACUUGAUUUUUUAUUUGAUAUUAUUUAAAUAAAGCACUAGGAUAAUAAUAAUAUCAGCACAAGAAGGAACGUGUUUCAGAUGUUUGAUGCAAUUCAGUACUGUUACAUUUCAAUCACAGGGUUUUCAGUCGUCAUUUCUUAUUAGUCUGGUAUUAUCAGUUAAUCAGUUAUAAUCAGUUAAUCAGUUAAUCAGUGUGCUGCUUCUGGAUGAGUUGAGGAGGAAUAUUGAUGGAGAUCAUUACAAGCGCUUUAGAAAAGAUGUCGUUCUGAUUUCCUGCAUUAUAACCCGCUAGGGAAAAAACCUAAGUGCUCGGAGGAACGAAUUAGUAAAUGGGCACGUGACCUAAAUGCGCGAGCACGUGUAGGUAUUUUCGCGUACAAUGCAAGGAGCCUAAUUACACCCAGUCCAUAAUCUAAACUCUUGCUGUUUUUUUUUUUUUAAUUAUUAUUGUUAUUAUUAUUUCUCAGUGACGUUUUGUAAUUGUAAAUAUUUACCACGUUGUAUUAUGAUAUUUGCUCUGCUCUGUAGACUGCACAUCCCGGUUUAAACAGUUAUUUUACACGUGCUCUUUCAUCUUGUAAAAUUUCAUCUUGUGUAAAACACUGAAUGGAAUAUAGGUUUGCAGAAAUAUCUAUUAUUUAAAACUUAGCUCACCCUUACUUAUAGAAAACGAAUAAUAAUUAUAAAAAGAAGGCGAUUUGAUUUUUUUUCACACUUCCCAUGUCCCAAUGUGACGUGAUGGUUAAGUAACGAGAAUUGUUGCCUACAUGUUUUCUCAUUCCUUGUGUGAGAUUUAAAAAAAAAAAAAAAAAAAAAACACACACACACACACACACAAAAAAAACGGGAUCAAUUUUCACACUUAAUAAAUAUUAGUAAAUGUUCCUGUUAACAAAAAAAGCCGAGGUGCAUGUUUGUAUGGGAAUAUUAGGUGUGUUCGGUAGGAGAAAACAAUUAACUCGUGUAAAAAGUGUGUACUAGGGCGGAAGUAAAAAAUUGUUAGCGCAUGUUUAAUCCCGCUAAUAGCCUACAAAAUAUUUGUACUUAACAGUACCACCACCACCACCACCAAAAACAACAACAUGAACAACAACAGGAACAACAACAACAACAACAACAACAAUAAUAAUAAUAAUAAUAAUAAUAAUAAUAAUAAUAAUAAUAAUAAUCUUGAGAUAUAUUACCCCAUUUCCCCACUAGACACUAAAUUUCUCUUUAAAAAUGGAUAAAACACGCCGCAUGUUUUUACAUGAACAAACCACUAGGUGUCGCCAAGCAUCGCGGAACUGCUUUCCACUGACCCAGAUUUAAUUUUCCUUAAUUUGAAAUAAAACUAUGACGUGUUCAAAUAAAAAAAAAAGACAGCUUUAGUUGCUGGCCAGUUCUGCCAUAACUGCACGAUAUAUUUACUUUUAAAUGACUGUUGCUCGUCAUACAUUUGACCUGAUGACCAGAGAGCCGCUGUGCACACCAACGCACAGAGAUCUCAUAAGCUGUAACAUACAAUUUUAAUAAAAUAUACUGCAUCUAAAAAGGUCACCUGCAAAGAAAUAAUAUUUUGCCAAAUAAAAAUGUUAUCAUAUAAUUAGACCGAAAAUAUAUGACACCAGUAACGUUUGUGAUAGGCAACAAUAAAAAACAAACAAACAAAAAAAAACGUAAACAUGAUAACAGCAUGAACACACGCACACACACACACACACACACACACACACACACACACACACAAAAGGCUUAUCUGUAUCUGCAUGCAUAUAUUUAGCGCGUGCAUUUUGCAACCUGAAUAAAGUGUUAAAAUAAUAUAGACUUGUAUUUCUACUGUUCACAUAUCGAUUUCCAAUCCGGGUAUCUGUCCUACGUGAUCUCUAAACGAAAUUACAGUGCACUAUUUUUGCCACGACUCAAGAAAAGACCAAAAUAAACCAGAAUUACAUGUUAUAUUGCUCUCUGAAAACGACUAAAACGGUUAAAAAGUUGUUUUUUUUAUUCUGUUUUUCAGAACUACAAAGGAUACCUGUAUGAUAUUUCAUUCAGAUUCAUAUAAAUUAUUCCGACUAAGAAGAAAAUAUAGUCGAGAAAAGAUACCCUAGAAUUAAAUAAUAAUUAAUUUAAAAAAAUAGUCAUCAUAAAAACUUCCCGAUUGAAAUACGACCUUGCGCGACAAGAUGGCUUCAUUAUUUAACAGUAGCUGUGUGAUUUCAUGACUGUGAUUUCCUGUAGGCUACUAGAAAAUAGUGAAAGCAGCGAAGGAAAUGGUGAAUAAGACUUUUAACGGUAGGAGAAGCAUGAGCAUUAAGAAUUCCCAAGCAAACAUAUCAACAUAGUCUACUAAUUUAAAAAAAAAUAACAUGAAAUGUGGCUGAAUAGCCAUGAUCUGAGUGACUGAUGCUCGCAGUGGUCGAAUUGGUUAAGUUUUUCAUAAUAGUUCAGUCACUUUUAAAUUCUUUUAUGGCUGAAAGACAAGUCAGUGUGUGUGUGUGUGUGUGUGUGUGUGUGUGUAGGCCUAUAUGCGGGUGUCUAAGUACGUAAACUACAUGGAGUUAUGAAACUGAAGGAUUUGGUUAGAAUUAAAUGUGUAUGCAUGUAUGUAUGUCUAUGUAGCAUAUUGUGGGGGAAAACCGCUGAAAAGAUAUCCCUCAUCCUCGUUUUGUUUUAGCUCAUUUCCCCCCGCUUUUUUAGGUGGGACAAGCGCCUUCCUAUUCUAAUUGCAUUGUAAAUAUGCAUCACCAUGAUAAUGGGGUCGCGCGCAGGCGUAGCCCCGCCGCUCACGUGCGCUUCACAACUUCGGGCCCUCUCACUGCGUGUAGAUGGAGGACGGGGUCAGAGGAUAAACUAGCUUACAAGUAAAGUUCAAUUUCUCUCGGUAACAAACAAGGAGACGCAACUGGGCUUGUCCCGAAAAUAUGCAUGAGCCUAGCAACACGCGUGCAUAUAGGACAGCACGUGUCUCGAGCCGCCUGGGAUGAAAAUCUUUACGUGUGCCCGUCUGGCCACUUCUAUUGGGUGCCACCUCAGCUGAGCAGCUCGGAGCAAAGGUGCAUAAACUGAAGAGCGCUUAGACACGCACAAAAAAAAAGUUCCGGAGAUGCGUGUUGCCUCGAGUGUCAGCGUGCAAAAGGGUAGAUUAUUAAUGGGCGGCGGACACUAAGCGUUGGUUUUAAGGGUAAGUGUGACGCAAAAUGAUGUGUCUGUUCAUAUGAAGUUAAAUGCCUUAGUUAAGGGUUGAGCCUGCAACCGAUGACUGAUUACUGAUUUCUUGCUAUCAGAGGAUAGGAAACAGAAUCAUUAUCCAUCCUGUGCGGUGGAGCUAUGAAUACUUGAGUCGUCAAUACAUGCGCUGUAGUCAGUGCAUUUGCAUAUGACGUGUAAUUAUGCAGUUAUAGCAGUCUAAUACAGCCGGGAUGUGCAGACAGUAUGUUUCACACAGACUCCUUAUACGAUUGCUUUUUUUAAAAUAGAUAAAUAAUAAUAAUAAUAAUAAUAAUAAUAAUAAUAAUAAUAAUAAUAAUAAUGAUAAUAAUAAUAAUACAUUUCUAGCAGUUACUUCAAUGAAUCUUGCGUAGGCUAUAUAGGCCUCAUAUAUAGAGUAUAACUCAUAUGGUGUUACGUGAUCAUGCAAAAUGAUGCAAAUUGUUACUAAACGCGUGUUGUUCUUUUGUUCGGCCGUCUUUGUUAGUACACGUAUUUGUGCAUGUAGUGCAUGGGUUUGAAUAGUGUAACUCUAAUGAAUUUUUAUAAUAGAUGUUGGCGAAUCCGAGACUUUAUGAAAUCGCAUUUCUAAUGCAUAGAAUAUAAAGCAAAACAAAGAAGAAGAAGAAAAAAAGAGCAUUCUGAACCUACCGCUCGCCUAACAUGCUGCUGUUUUAAACAAAAAGGGAAAUGAAGAAAACAACACAGCCACAGCCACUGUGAAUGCAAAAGAGAUGCAAAUAUACCUUUUACAUAUGCAUCAAUAUUUAAAAUAACACACAUGUUGGAAGCGUCUGCAGCGAUGAACCGAGCGGUGUCUCAGUGCGCGCGGGCGCCAGUCUUCGCUCCUUCAGCGCGCGCUCCGGAUCCUCACCAUGCAGAUGCUCGCCAUAUUCAAAACAAUAAACAAACACACAUACAUACACACACACACGCACACACCAAAAAACACACACAAUACGCGCCUAUUCUCUUCAAAUGGAAAACGAGCCUCUUCGGAUCCGACGAGGGUAAAAUUUACUCCGAGCGCUGAUAGAAAGGCGACGUAAGGGGAUUUGCAUAUUUGAUGCGCUAAUUUCCUUGAUGUAUUUAAAUAUGGCUGCGCGUAGCAGAGCGGCUUGUCUACGUCACUGGACGUGACCUCGUUGUUAAAUCUAAACGCGAAUCCGCUUGCAAUCAUGGAGAAUUAGAAAGAGGGACAGAAUUACGCGUUGUAACGUCAUUACUAAUUUUCUAAUACAAAAAUAGCUUAUUUAAAAAAAAAAUUAAAUAAAAAACAGUUGAACUUGAACUUGACAUUCAAUACGCUUGCGUAUGUGAUGAGAAAAAAUACAGGUAACAUAAUAAUAAUAAUAAUAAUAAUAAUAAUAAUAAUAAUAAUAAUAAUGUGGGAUGGUCUAAUAAUAGGCUUAUUAAAAGGUUAUGCAUUACACAGUCCGCACUUUUAUUGAAGGAAUGUUCACUUAUUAGUGCCAAGGCCUCUCGCGUGCUUUCUUUUUUAAUGAAUAAAUGAAUGAACAUAGUAUGUGCUUGGUGUCUUAUGACUAAACUUAGACUUCUUGCUCUUUUUUUUUUUUUUUUUUAAAGCGAUGCUUUCUCUUGACAGUAUGUGUUUUUUUUCUCCCUGCUCUAAUAAUGUCCUCGCUGUGUAUAAAGACGGCGAGCGCGUUCCGUCAGUCCGCUCGUGUGGGGCAGAAAAAAAAAGCUCGAGGCAAAUUCAUUAGCGCAGUCAGUGCGUAACCUGCUCUGGGAAACUGGGGGGCUACAGUCCACGCCAAUAAGGGGAACAAUGGCUCCUCAGUUCAAAUCCAACAAAAGACCUGGCCAACUUGUUUGAAUUUCCGAGCACGUCCUUUCUUUCUAUCACAGAGAAGGAGAGGUGCCCCCCUCUUCUGCUGACCCCCUCCCAACACCCCCCAUCUACCCCCACCCUAACACUAAAAAAAAUAAAAUAUAUAUUUUUUAAAUCAUUCCAUGCCAACCCUUCUCCGCUCAACACUGCACUUUUUCCCAUUUGGUGCCGUAGACAAAUAGGUUAUGGGAAACUUCUCGACCCCUCCUCUCUGACCCCCCCCCCCCCCCGUACACCCCCCCAUCUCGCGCUGUCUCUCAGUCUCUCACACACUCUCGCGCUGUCUCUAGCGCGCGUGGACUUACCGGAGCAGGGAAGCACGCGUAAUGAGCUAAGUGUUAGCGGCAAUUUUGAACCACACGCGCACAGGAUGGACUCGUUAGUGAGACGGCGUUUUGCGCACCGGCAACGGAUACUGAAUGUUUGGAAAGACGCUUGGACAGAAAGAGCCGGGAAAUAUGACCAUAACUGUCCGGCGGAAGCGAGUGAGGCGAAAUGGAGCUGUCUAAAAUAAAAUCCAGCAAUAAAAUCCAGCAUAAGUGUGGGCGUUGUCUCUGACUGAGAAUAAUGCUACGAAAAGAAAAAAGUUGGUCGAUUAUAAAAGGCUUGCAGCAACUAUUGGCCAAAUUCCUGCCUCUCAACCAAGCCUACUCUCAGCAAACGUGCGAAGGUGAAGAGAGAUGGGAGAUGAGGUCAAAUAAAAGAUGGAUUGCUCACUGUGCUGAGAGUAAAGGUUAAGAGCAUCAAUGGAUGAUGACUUCAACCCAUUUAUAGAUAUGCCCUGGAUCUGAGGGAUGGAUGAAUUGUCUUCUUUGAGAGUUUCCCAGAUUAUGUGUAUUGGUUUGUGGAGUGCAGACCAUAUACUAUAGCAGCUGGAAUUUUAAUAAAUUCACAGUAGCAUCUGGAUUGACACAAGAUACAUGCCUUGAAUGUUGUAUACAAGUGAAGUCACUAUGCAAAGUGUGAUUGUACAGCCUUCUCCUUGCACAAAUAUUUUGGAUCAAAAUUUACUUGAAUAUGUUUGCACUAUGAAGUUUAUUUAUACAAUAAAUUGUUUAUUUUUCUAGAAGGACAUUGCAGUGUGUGAUUUGUUUUUCUGAAUUGUAGAUGAUGGAAUUUCUAAUACGGUGGAUAUUAAAAUGAUCAGUCUUAGGUCGACUGAAAUGGUAAA
ensembl:lncRNA